rnacentral:rRNA from 1 species
ACGGGUGAGUAACACGUGGGCAACCUGCCCUUGAGACUGGGAUAACUUCGGGAAACCGGAGCUAAUACCGGAUAAUAUAAGGAACCUCCUGGUUCCUUAUUGAAAGAUGGUUUCGGCUAUCACUUAAGGAUGGGCCCGCGGCGCAUUAGCUAGUUGGUGAGGUAACGGCUCACCAAGGCGACGAUGCGUAGCCGACCUGAGAGGGUGAUCGGCCACACUGGGACUGAGACACGGCCCAGACUCCUACGGGAGGCAGCAGUAGGGAAUCUUCCACAAUGGACGAAAGUCUGAUGGAGCAACGCCGCGUGAGUGAUGAAGGCCUUCGGGUCGUAAAGCUCUGUUGUUAGGGAAGAACAAGUGCGAGAGUAACUGCUCGCACCUUGACGGUACCUAACCAGAAAGCCACGGCUAACUACGUGCCAGCAGCCGCGGUAAUACGUAGGUGGCAAGCGUUAUCCGGAAUUAUUGGGCGUAAAGCGCGCGCAGGUGGUUUCUUAAGUCUGAUGUGAAAGCCCACGGCUCAACCGUGGAGGGUCAUUGGAAACUGGGGAACUUGAGUGCAGAAGAGGAAAGUGGAAUU